GGGUGGUAAAAGUGUGCAAAGGUUUGCAGAAGAUAUGUAAAGGUGUGUAGAGGUGUAAAAGGAGUGUAAAGGUAUACAGAAGUUGGAUAAAGGUGUAUAAAACUGUGCGAAAGGGUAAAGGUGUGUAGAAGUGGUUUAGAAGGUGUGUAAAGUUGUGUAGAAGGUGUAUAAAGGUGUGUAGAAGGUGUGUAAAUGUAUGUAGAAGGGGUUUAGAAGGUGUGUAGAAGGGGUUUAGAAAGUGUGUAGAAGGUGUGUACAUGAGAGGAUGUAUGGGUCACGGGUCUCUUGGCUAACAGUGAGACGGUGGUGUAUAAAUAGCAGCAUGGGAGCGAGAGGUGAGCUAACAGCAUUUUGAGUCUGCAGGAAGAAGAGAGUGAUGCAAUUAGAGGAAAUGAUGAGGCAAAAGACGAGAGAAAACGGAAAGAGCAAUGCUGCUACAGCUCCCGAUCAGAUGGGAUGAAGAGGAAUAAAAUACGAGACGGCAGAUCAUUAGCGGAUCAUCAUCCAGCAGUUAAUGACGCAAUCAGGUUUAAUAACAAUCACAUAGCCAAAUAAGGAGGAAGCCUGCCGUGAACAUCUACACAACAGAAGAGUGAACAACACCUACACAACAGGAGAGUGAACAACAUCUACACAACAGAAGAGUGAACAACAUCUACACAACAGAAGAGUAACAUCUACACAACAGGAGAAUGGACAACAUCUACACAACAGAAGAGUGACAACAUCUACACAACAGAAGAGUGAACAACAUCUACACAACAGAAGAGGGAACAACUACACAACAGAAGAGUGGACACAUCUACACAACAGAAGAGUGGACAACAUCUACACAACAGGAGAGUUGAACAACUACACAACAGGAGAGUGAAUAACAUCUACACAACAGGAGAGUGAACAACAUCUACACAACAGGAGAGUGAACAACAUCUACACAACAGAGAAGUGAACAACAUCUACACAACAGGAGAGUGAACAACAUCUACACAACAGGAGAGUGAACAAGCUACACAACAGAAGUUAACACUAGGAGGAGAGUGAACAACAUCUACACAACAGGAGAGUGAACAACAUCUACACAACAGGAG
ensembl:lncRNA